GAUGGAUCAAAAAGACAGUGUGGUGUUUCUGAAGGAGGAAGCUGGUCGCAAGCAAAGGGUUCGUGAUGAAGCCAAACCACUGUCGGUGGUAGAUGAUAACUUGCUGAUUGAAAAAUUUGAUAAUCCUUUUUUGUACAACACGGUAUUGGCAGAAACACCUGAUGGCAUCAAGCAAGUCUCCGUCACCCUGGAUGUGGAAACAGCGCAUGCGCUGCUCGAGGUGUCUGAGGAUCGGAAGACGGUGAGACGGACCGAGACGCGGAGGAGUCUCCCUGACACCAGGAAGAGGUUUACAGUCAGUCUGUAUGUGCUGGGAACGGAGGGAUUCACAUCGGGGAGACAUUACUGGGAGGUGGAGGUGGCGGGGAGUCGGUUCUGGAGUCUGGGAGUCGCCGCAGAAUCUGUGGAGAGGAAGAGAGGGG